rnacentral:lncRNA from 1 species
UACCAAAACGCUCAAUAAGCAAGAAAAUGGAGAUGGAUGUUGAAAAUGAUGUCAGUGACUCUGAUGAGGAUUAUAAUGAGGAAGAAGAUGAUGAUGAUGACGAUGAUGACUCCACUCUGAUUUCAUCACUAAGGAGAUCAAACUCUUCAAAAUGUAAAAGAAAUCAGACUAAAGAUUGCAGAGCUUCAAAUGAGAAACCAACCUCCAAGAAAAUCAAAGAUGAUUCAAACAGUCUGAUUUCAUCACUAAGGAGAUCAAACCCUUCAAAAUGUAAAAGAAAUCAGGCUAAAGAUUGCAGAGCUUCAACUGAAAAACCAACCUCCAAGAAAAUCAAAGAUGAUUCAAACAAGAAAGAAAAGUCCAACGAAAAGCAGGAGGAAAAGGAAGAGGAAAUCAAGGACACCAAACAAAAUGAUGUUAACAAUACCCCUCAUCAUGAACGAGUAAUGAGAAAUCGUCGUGCUGCUU